AACAUUUAAAAUAGAUGUAAAGUUUAUAAGGUUGAGAAACAUAAAAACUCAAGUUAUUUAUCUAAAAGAUGUUUUAAGGUCUAAAAAGAUAUUUUUAGAAUGGAAAUACAAGUUAUAACAAAAAUGGCUUAGCUAUAAAACUUUGGACUAAGGAUAGAUAAUGCACAGUUUUCUCUAAAUUAGCCAAUACAAAUAGUUUGGAAACUGUGAAUGUAAUUCUUACCUGAUAAUUGUUCUUAGUGUAUAUAGUUUCCUUGUAUUAGAGUUAAGACCUUUCAUUUUAUUUAGACAAAAGUGGGAAAUGUUGUGGAAUAUUCCUUUACCCAGUGUGAAGAUGUGUCACUGUGAUUGGUUUAAUAAAAAGCUAAAUAGCCAAUAGCUAUGCAGGAAUUACAGCCGGGACUUCUGGACAGAGAGAGCUCCGGAAAGAAGAAAGGUGGAUUCACCACACAAUUGGAGAAGUACAGAAUAAAGUUCUCAUCACACAGGCUUCCUCUGGCAUCUGAUGGGAGCAGAUGCAGAGACCCACAGCCAAACAUUAAGUGGAGCUUGGGGGAACUUCAUGGAAGAAGUGGAAGAAGGAUUGUAGGAGCCAGAAGCAUUGAUGGCACCAUAAGAAAAUCCACAGAAUCAACUAAACAGGGCUCAAAGAGACUAAAGGGAGCCUGCAUGGGUCUGUAUGAGGCCCUCUGCAUACAUUUUGUUGUUCUUUAGCUUGUGAUUUUUGUGGGACUCCUAACAAUGGGAGUAGAGACACCUCUGACUCUUUUACUUGCUCUUGAGGCCCCUUUCCUCCUAUGGGGUUGCCUUGUCCAGCCAUGCUAUGAGUCUUAUUGUGACUUGUUAUGCUGUGUUCAUUUGCUGUUACUGGGAGUCCUGUUCUUUUCUGAAGGGAAACAGAGGAGGAAUCAAUCUGGGGAAAUAGGAGGUGGGAGGAGGGUCUGGGAGGAGUGGAUGGAGGGUAGACUGUGGUCAGAAUGUAAUGUAUGAGAGAAGAAUAAAAAAAAGUGGUACCUGAGAGAAAAUUGA